GCUUGCUCCCGGAUGUUAGCGGCGGACGGGUGAGUAACACGUGGGUAACCUGCCUGUAAGACUGGGAUAACUCCGGGAAACCGGAGCUAAUACCGGAUAGUUCCUUGAACCGCAUGGUUCAAGGAUGAAAGACGGUUUCGGCUGUCACUUACAGAUGGACCCGCGGCGCAUUAGCUAGUUGGUGAGGUAACGGCUCACCAAGGCGACGAUGCGUAGCCGACCUGAGAGGGUGAUCGGCCACACUGGGACUGAGACACGGCCCAGACUCCUACGGGAGGCAGCAGUAGGGAAUCUUCCGCAAUGGACGAAAGUCUGACGGAGCAACGCCGCGUGAGUGAUGAAGGUUUUCGGAUCGUAAAGCUCUGUUGUUAGGGAAGAACAAGUGCAAGAGUAACUGCUUGCACCUUGACGGUACCUAACCAGAAAGCCACGGCUAACUACGUGCCAGCAGCCGCGGUAAUACGUAGGUGGCAAGCGUUGUCCGGAAUUAUUGGGCGUAAAGGGCUCGCAGGCGGUUUCUUAAGUCUGAUGUGAAAGCCCCCGGCUCAACCGGGGAGGGUCAUUGGAAACUGGGAAACUUGAGUGCAGAAGAGGAGAGUGGAAUUCCACGUGUAGCGGUGAAAUGCGUAGAGAUGUGGAGGAACACCAGUGGCGAAGGCGACUCUCUGGUCUGUAACUGACGCUGAGGAGCGAAAGCGUGGGGAGCGAACAGGAUUAGAUACCCUGGUAGUCCACGCCGUAAACGAUGAGUGCUAAGUGUUAGGGGGUUUCCGCCCCUUAGUGCUGCAGCUAACGCAUUAAGCACUCCGCCUGGGGAGUACGGUCGCAAGACUGAAACUCAAAGGAAUUGACGGGGGCCC
rnacentral:rRNA from 1 species